GUCUAUAGCCAUGCUACCCUGAACAAAUCCAAUCUCGUCUGAUCUUAGAGGCUAAGCAGGGUCAAGCUCUUUUAGUACUUGGAUGGGAGACCACCUAGGAAUAACAGGUGCUGUAAGUG
rnacentral:rRNA from 1 species